rnacentral:rRNA from 1 species
GAUGAACGCUGGCGGCGUGCCUAAUACAUGCAAGUCGAGCGAACAGACGAGGAGCUUGCUCCUCUGACGUUAGCGGCGGACGGGUGAGUAACACGUGGAUAACCUACCUAUAAGACUGGGAUAACUUCGGGAAACCGGAGCUAAUACCGGAUAAUAUCUUGAACCGCAUGGUUCAAUAGUGAAAGACGGUUUUGCUGUCACUUAUAGAUGGAUCCGCGCCGCAUUAGCUAGUUGGUAAGGUAACGGCUUACCAAGGCAACGAUGCGUAGCCGACCUGAGAGGGUGAUCGGCCACACUGGAACUGAGACACGGUCCAGACUCCUACGGGAGGCAGCAGUAGGGAAUCUUCCGCAAUGGGCGAAAGCCUGACGGAGAAACGCCGCGUGAGUGAUGAAGUUCUUCGGAUCGUAAAACUCUGUUAUUAGGGAAGAACAAAUGUGUAAGUAACUAUGCACGUCUUGACGGUACCUAAUCAGAAAGCCACGGCUAACUACGUG